rnacentral:misc_RNA from 1 species
CUAUGUUUAAAUAUCUCCUGUUUAGUACUAUGAGAUGUCCUACGGCUUGAAUGUAGAGAUGCAUAAACAAACUGAGAUCUGUAAACGUCUUGAUGCAAUAAUAAGACAAGUUCUACCCUUCUUAUCUGGCGAGCAUCAACAACAAGUUGCAGUAGCAGUUGAGAGAGCUAAACAAAUUACAAUGGCAGAACUGAAUGCAGUUAUGCAGCAAGCAGCUGGAGGACCUGGUGGUCUACCUGGUGGUCCCCCUGGUGCCCCUGGUCUCCCCCCUGCCCUGGCAGGUAUGCCUGGUUUGCCCCCUAGCUCAGCUGCUGGGCUACUCUCCCUGGCUGGUCAUGGUAUACCUGGUCUACCCCCAACUUCACUACAACAACUCAUGGCCAGACAUGAACAUAUGAAGCAGGAGGAGAAAUCUCCCCUGGUGGCAAUGGAGGAGAGAUUAAAACAUUCCGCUUCAUCCUCCCCAGCCGGCAGGAAUUACGGCGAUUUUAGAGAUAUGCGCGAUCCAAGAGAUAUUCACCGACCGCGCUCACCGAUCUCAGCGCGAUCCCCAAUCCGAGCAUCUACACCUAAUGAUGAAAUUGCGGCAAAGCGAUUGAAAACCGAAGACAUCAGAAAAUCUGGACAUGAGUCUGACAGUGGUGACAAAUCAGACGGCGACCUUGUCGUCGAUGUUGGUAACGAGGACGAAUCUGGUCGACAGAUGAACGGCGACCACAGGGGAGGAGAGAACGGGAACGCGGACCGGAGAGAUCGUCCUCCCUCGAAUAUGUCCUCAUCGUCUAGAUCUACUCCCUCCUUGAAGCAGAAGGACCUGGAAAAACCAGGAACUCCUGGAUCCAAACCUGCAACUCCUAAUGAUCUCGCUCCGGGACAGAAAGCUCCAACUCCUCCCCGUGGACCUCCUCAUGGUCCUCAAUUACCUGGCGCUGGACCUUAUCCUUACCCUGGACUAGGGGGUCGGCCUCCUGGUGACCCUCUAGGAUACCCACCUGGAGCCCCUUUAGGUCCUGGCUACCCUAGACCUCCACUGGCCGGCCCACCAGGGGUUCCCCCUGUAGGCCCCCCUGCGGGCCAUGACCCGCACCCCAACCCCCGUGUCCCCGUAUCUAACGGAAUCUCCAACGGCGCAGGACUUACUGGCCCAUCAGGAAAACCAUCCUACUCAUUUCAUGUCGGUGCAGACAACCAGCUGCAGCCGGUCAGUUUCCCUCAUGAUGCGCUCACAGCGCAGGGAAUUCCUCGCCACGCGCGGCAAAUCAAUACCUUGGCGCACGGUGAAGUUGUGUGCGCAGUAACCAUGUCGAACCCUACUAAGUUUGUGUAUACAGGGGGGAAAGGUUGUGUUAAGGUUUGGGAUAUAACCCAACCUUCUAAUAAGACUCCUAUUAGUCAGUUAGACUGUCUACAGAGAGAGAAUUAUAUUCGUUCCAUUAAACUUUUACCUGACGGACGAACCCUGGUGGUGGGAGGAGAAGCAAGUAAUCUAUCUAUCUGGGAUCUAGCAGCUCCUACUCCUAGAAUCAAGGCGGAGAUGCCAAGCUCCGCCCCGGCCUGCUACGCCCUUGCCAUCAGUCCCGACUCCAAGGUCUGUUUUAGCUGUUGCAGUGAUGGUAACAUCGCUGUCUGGGAUCUUCACAAUCAAACUCAGAUUAGACAGUUCCAGGGACAUACGGACGGAGCCAGCUGUAUAGAUAUAUCUGCAGAUGGAACUAAGCUAUGGACGGGAGGUUUGGAUAACACUGUACGUUCCUGGGAUCUCCGGGAAGGAAGACAACUACAACAACAUGAUUUUAGUUCUCAGAUAUUCUGUCUUGGUUAUUGUCCAACCGGAGACUGGUUAGCUGUUGGUAUGGAAAACUCUAAUGUUGAAGUUCUUCAUUGUUCUAAACCAGAUAAAUAUCAGCUUCAUCUGCAUGAAAGCUGUGUUCUCUCUCUCAAGUUUGCAAACAACGGCAAAUGGUUUGUUUCAACUGGAAAAGACAAUCUUCUUAACUCCUGGAGAACUCCCUACGGAGCUUCUAUAUUUGUCUCCAAAGAAACCUCCUCAGUCCUGAGUUGCGACAUCAGCAACGACGACAAGUAUAUUGUGACAGGGUCAGGAGAUAAGAAGGCGACUGUGUAUGAAGUUAUUUACUAAACCUGAUUUAACGGUGAGGUGGAUUCUAGAGGGGUUUAAGUAAGGUUGUAUUAAGAACACUGGAGGUGAUCUUGACAUUAAGCUUGUUAAUCUUCAGGGUUUAAUUUAUCCACUUUAUAGAGAACAAGGAGUAUCAAUAAACUCUCAAAGAUAUUUUAUAAACAAAGUGAAACAACAUAUUAACACAUCAUACAAUGUUACCCAUUUUCUUUUCUCCUGUUAACUCGUUGAAGAAUUCGAGGAUAGAAAUGGUUAAAAUGAUAUUAUAUUUACCAAUCUAUAUAUACGUAAUGAUUCAACAUGACUAAUCGUUACGUUAUUUUCUGUGUUAAACGACAUUAAAGAAAUAUAAUACUGUCUUGAUA